rnacentral:rRNA from 1 species
AUUGAACGCUGGCGGCAUGCCUUACACAUGCAAGUCGAACGGUAACAGGUCUUCGGAUGCUGACGAGUGGCGAACGGGUGAGUAAUACAUCGGAACGUGCCCGAUCGUGGGGGAUAACGAGGGGAAAGCUUUGCUAAUACCGCAUACGAUCUACGGAUGAAAGCGGGGGAUCUUCGGACCUCGCGCGGACGGAGCGGCCGAUGGCAGAUUAGGUAGUUGGUGGGAUAAAAGCUUACCAAGCCGACGAUCUGUAGCUGGUCUGAGAGGAUGAUCAGCCACACUGGGACUGAGACACGGCCCAGACUCCUACGGGAGGCAGCAGUGGGGAAUUUUGGACAAUGGGCGAAAGCCUGAUCCAGCCAUGCCGCGUGCAGGAUGAAGGCCUUUGGGUUGUAAACUGCUUUUGUACGGAACGAAAAGCCUCUUUCUAAUAAAGAGGGGUCAUGACGGUACCGUAAGAAUAAGCACCGGCUAACUACGUG